rnacentral:rRNA from 1 species
CAGCCGCCGCGGUAACACCGGCGGCCCGAGUGGUGAUCGUGAUUAUUGGGUCUAAAGGGUCCGUAGCCGGUUUGGUCAGUCCUCCGGGAAAUCUGAUAGCUCAACUAUUAGGCUUUCGGGGGAUACUGCCAGACUUGGAACCGGGAGAGGUAAGAGGUACUACAGGGGUAGGAGUGAAAUCUUGUAAUCCCUGUGGGACCACCUGUGGCGAAGGCGUCUUACCAGAACGGGUUCGACGGUGAGGGACGAAAGCUGGGGGCACGAACCGGAUUAGAUACCCGGGUAGUCCCAGCCGUAAACGAUGCUCGCUAGGUGUCAGGCAUGGCGCGACCGUGUCUGGUGCCGCAGGGAAGCCGUGAAGCGAGCCACCUGGGAAGUACGGCCGCAAGGCUGAAACUUAAAGGAAUUGGCGGGGGAGCACAACAACGGGUGGAGCCCUGCGGUUUAAUUGGACUCAACGCCGGACAACUCACCGGGGGCGACAGCAAUAUGUAGGCCAAGCUGAAGACUUUGCCUGAAUCGCUGAGAAGAGGUGCAUGG